rnacentral:snRNA from 1 species
GUUCCCUGGAAAGGGGCGCC